rnacentral:rRNA from 1 species
GAAAUUCCAAUCGAACCCGGAGAUAGCUGGUUCUCCCCGAAAUAGCUUUAGGGCUAGCGUCGGAAAGAACCUUAGUGAAGGUAGAGCACUGAAUGUGUGAUGGCCCCAUCCCGGGGUACUGAAUACAAUCAAACUGCGAAUGUCAUUAAGGAUGUCCGGCAGUCAGACUGUGAGUGAUAAGGUCCAUGGUCAAGAGGGAAACAGCCCAGACCGCCAGUUAAGGUCCCAAAAUACAGGCUAAGUGGAAAAGGAUGUGGGGAUGCCCAGACAACUAGGAGGUUGGCUCAGAAGCAGCCAUCCUUUAAAGAGUGCGUAACAGCUCACUAGUCGAAUGACUCUGCGCCGAUAAUUUACCGGGGCUAAGCAUACUACCGAAGCUAUGGAUCCCAAGGGAUGGUAGGGGAGCGUUCCAUGAACGGAGAAGUACGACCGAAAGGACGUGUGGAGAUCAUGGAAGAGAGAAUGCCGGUGUGAGUAGCGGAACGUGGGUGAGAAUCCCACGCACCGAAAACCCAAGGUUUCCAGAGGAAGGUUCGUCCGCUCUGGGUAAGUCGGGACCUAAGGCGAGGCCGAAAGGCGUAGUCGAUGGACAACAGGUAGAGAUUCCUGUACCCGUAUAUAUGUGAAGGAAUGACGGAGAGAGGAAGCUGCAGCCAGCGGCUGGAAGAGCUGGUGCAAGCGAGAUAUCGGGAUGGCAGGCAAAUCCACCAUCCGAAACGAGAAGGCGUGAAGCGUACGGAAAGCUACGGCGAGUACGGAAGGCAGUGGAGGAACUUCCAAGAAAAGUUUCUAACGUUAAGUAUAUAUGGCCCGUACCGAAAAUGGACACACAUGGGUGAGGAGAGAAUCCUAAGGUGAGCGAGAGAACUAUAGCUAAGGAACUCUGCAAAAUGACUCCGUAACUUAGGGAGAAGGAGUGCUCAUAGAGAUAUGAGCCGCAGUGAAACGGCCCAAGCGACUGUUUACCAAAAACACAGCUCUCUGCUAAGCCGCAAGGCGAAGUAUAGGGGGUGACGCCUGCCCGGUGCUGGAAGGUUAAGGGGAGGGGUUAACGCAAGUGAAGCCCUGAACUGAAGCCCCAGUAAACGGCGGCCGUAACUAUAACGGUCCUAAGGUAGCGAAAUUCCUUGUCAGGUAAGUUCUGACCCGCACGAAAGGCGUAACGAUUUGGGCGCUGUCUCAGCUGUAGACUCGGUGAAGUCUUAGUACCUGUGAAGAUGCAGGUUGCCCGCGACUAGACGGAAAGACCCCAUGGAGCUUCACUGCAGGUUGACAUUGGGCUUGGAUGCAUGAUGUACAGGAUAGGUGGGAGGCUGUGAGCCGUGCGCGCCAGCGUACGGGGAGCCGCUGUUGGGAUACCACCCUUCAUGCAUCUAGGUCCUAACCGGAGGCAACGGGCCACGGGACAGUGUCAGUCGGGCAGUUUGACUGGGGCGGUCGCCUCCCAAAGAGUAACGGAGGCGCCCAAAGAUACCCUCAGCAUGGAUGGAAACCAUGCAUAGAGUGCAAAGGCAUAAGGGUGUCUGACUGCGAGACAUACAGGUCGAGCAGGGACGAAAGUCGGGCUUAGUGAUCCGGCGGAUCCGAAUGGAAGGGCCGUCGCUCAACGGAUAAAAGCUACCCUGGGGAUAACAGGCUGAUCUCCCCCAAGAGUUCACAUCGACGGGGAGGUUUGGCACCUCGAUGUCGGCUCAUCGCAUCCUGGAGCUGAAGUCGGUUCCAAGGGUUGGGCUGUUCGCCCAUUAAAGCGGUACGCGAGCUGGGUUCAGAACGUCGUGAGACAGUUCGGUCCCUAUCUGUCGUGGGCGCAGGAAAUUUGAGAAGAGCUGUCCUCAGUACGAGAGGACCGGGAUGGACGCAUCAAUGGUGGACCAGUUGUCACGCCAGUGGCAUAGCUGGGUAGCUAAAUGCGGAAGGGAUAAACGCUGAAGGCAUCUAAGUGUGAAACCCACUUCAAGAUGAGAUUUCCCAUUGCGCAAGCAAGUAAGACCCCUUAAAGACGAUAAGGUAGAUAGGUCAGGAGUGUAAGCAUGGUGACAUGUUAAGCGGACUGAUACUAAUAGGUCGAGGGCUUGACCGA